rnacentral:rRNA from 1 species
AAGCUGGCAGCAAUGUCCGCGUUGUAAUCUAGAGAAGUGUUUUCCGUGCUGGACCAUAGAUAUGUUCCUUGGAAUAGGAUGUCAUAGAGGGUGAGAACCCCGUACAUGCUAUGGACGCCCAGUGCUUUGUGAUACACGUUCGAAGAGUCGAGUUGUUUGGGAAUGCAGCUCAAAAUGGGUGGUAAAUUCCAUCUAAAGCUAAAUAUUGGGGAGAGACCGAUAGCAAACAAGUACCGUGAGGGAAAGAUGAAAAGCACUUUGGAAAGAGAGUUAAACAGUACGUGAAAUUGUCAAAAGGGAAGCGCUUCAAGUCAGAUAUGGCUUUGAAUGUUCAGCCUUUAGGUGUAUUCAUUUUUUGUCAGGCCAGCAUCGAUUUUGAACGUCGGAUAAGGGUAGAAAGAACGUAGCAUACUCUCGGGUAUGUGUUAUAGCUUUUUACUGGAUACGACGAUCGGGAUCGAGGUUCGCAGCACACCCUUUUU